rnacentral:lncRNA from 1 species
UUACAAGGCCCACAGAUAAUUAAACCCAAUACCCCAAUUACACCCAAGCCUAUACCAUAUCCCAAAUGCUGCCCAAAAUUCAUUAAGAUCCAAAAUACACAGGGCCCAAAUGGCCCAAAUAGUUAACAGAAAACAGAAGGCUUAGGGUUUUUGGAACCCUAGGCGCCGCAAGCACUCCAAUCGUCACGCCCUUUCCUCUUGCGCCGUUCCAAUGACCCUUUAUCGACACCUCCAUCGGCGCCGUGAUUCUAGCUCCGUAUUGCACCGUAAUCUGUGUACGAAUUAGCGCCAGCGCACUCACUGCCAUGAUAUCCUCGUUGGUACCUGCAAAAAGGAAAUAACAAUAGUAGAAAAGAGAAGCAAACAUGGAAAGAAAUCUUUGAUUUCUUUCCCAAAAUGUAAUAGAGGGUUAUAAAAACCUUUUUUUUCUAAUCCGUAAAAACACACGAUUGAUCAGAUAUAUAAAAAACAGAGAAAUAGAUUAUAGAUUUUUUUUGCUUUGCCAGAAAACAGAGGUGAUUCUUCUUGUUUUAUUUUUUUUAUUUUCCUCUUGGGUACCUAUAUUUCAUACAUAUAAAAUAUUAAUUAAUAAAUAAAAAGAGGAUUACCUCUCGAUUCGCUGUGAAAAGUGAGGAUUUUUGAAUCCCGACCGCCGUACGUGGCGAAGUCGAUGGAGGCGCAUGGGCACGUGGGAGCCCGUGGACGGAAGCUUGACGGAGCUCCGACGGCCAGCUCUCAAUCCUCUUUCAGAGGAUUUUUUCUUGUUUUUUUU